rnacentral:tRNA from 1 species
GGUCCGGUAGCUCAGCUGGUAGAGCACCUGCCUGAAGAGCAGGGUGUCGGGGGUUCAAGUCCCUCUCGGACCAC